rnacentral:rRNA from 1 species
UACGUAGGGGGCUAGCGUUGUCCGGAAUCAUUGGGCGUAAAGCGCGUGUAGGCGGCUCGAUAAGUCUGCUGUGAAAGUCCAGGGCUCAACCCUGGGAUGCCGGUGGAUACUGUCGAGCUCGAGUCCGGAAGAGGCGAGUGGAAUUCCUGGUGUAGCGGUGAAAUGCGCAGAUAUCAGGAGGAACACCAAUGGCGAAGGCAGCUCGCUGGGACGGGACUGACGCUGAGACGCGAAAGCGUGGGGAGCAAACAGG